GCCCUGAUAGCUCAGUUGGUUAGAGCAUGGAGCUGAAAAUGCCAAAAUUGCAAGUUCGAUCCCUGUAUAGGACA